rnacentral:rRNA from 1 species
AUUGAACGCUGGCGGCAUGCCUUACACAUGCAAGUCGAACGGCAGCACGGGUGCUUGCCCCUGGUGGCGAGUGGCGAACGGGUGAGUAAUACAUCGGAACAUGUCCUGUAGUGGGGGAUAGCCCGGCGAAAGCCGGAUUAAUACCGCAUACGAUCUACGGAUGAAAGCGGGGGACCUUCGGGCCUCGCGCUAUAGGGUUGGCCGAUGGCUGAUUAGCUAGUUGGUGGGGUAAAGGCCUACCAAGGCGACGAUCAGUAGCUGGUCUGAGAGGACGACCAGCGACCUUGGAACUGAGACACGGCCCAGGCGACUACGGGAGGCAGCAGUGGGGAAUUUUGGACAAUGGGCGAAAGCCUGAUCCAGCAAUGCCGCGUGUGUGAAGAAGGCCUUCGGGUUGUAAAGCACUUUUGUCCGGAAAGAAAUCCUUGGCUCUAAUACAGUCGGGGGAUGACGGUACCGGAAGAAUAAGCACCGGCUAACUACGUG